rnacentral:rRNA from 1 species
UACGUAGGGUGCGAGCGUUGUCCGGAAUUAUUGGGCGUAAAGAGCUCGUAGGCGGUUCGUCGCGUCGGCUGUGAAAACCCGAGGCUCAACCUCGGGCCUGCAGUCGAUACGGGCGGACUGGAGUUCGGCAGGGGAGACUGGAAUUCCUGGUGUAGCGGUGAAAUGCGCAGAUAUCAGGAAGAACACCCGUGGCGAAGGCGGCUCUCUGGGACGGUACUGACGCUGAGACGCGAAAGCGUGGGGAGCGAACAGG